CUCCUUUUCUUUUCCUUUUUUAAAAAAAGUGUUCAGCAAAACAAGCUUAGACGGAACAGAGUGAGGUGUCUAGGCUCAGGAGUAAAAGAAACACCUUCCUUCCCUCACAUCCGUUUGUGGUUUGUUUAAGAAGAAGAGGAGAAAAAAAAAAAAAGAGGGGGGAAAAGCGCUCAACUCUCCCCCAAGCCGCGGCGCGCACCCGUCGGCGCCGAGCGCGCAGCCUGCUCCGCCGCCGCCUCUCGGUCCCGCCGCCGCCGCCGCCGCCGCCGGGCAGGUAACUUCAUGCGCUCAUUGUCCCCCCGCCCGCCCCCCCCAUCCCCGCCUCCCGCGCCCCUCGCCGCCCGGCACACGCGCUCGGGCUCUAGGUACUGGGCGUUUUAUUGGAGACUCUGAGUUGCUCUGCUUGUAGUUUAUUUUCUCCACCUUGGAGGCCUGGGAUUGGGGGGAUCAAGAGGGGACAGGGCGGGAGGGGGGCGAGCGCCCCAGGCCGGGAGGGGUAGGGAGCGUGGCCGGACGCGGGCUCCUCGCGGCCCAAUGGCUGCUGCUUGGAGCCGGGGGACGGGACGGAGAAGGGAGGAGCGGCGAAAGAGAAGGAGGAGAGAACUGCCCGGCCGAUACAGAAGCGGCGGGACCCCUGGGGGCCUCCGCUGUGCCGGUGCCGCGCUCCUCGGGGCCAGCGCGUCGCACACAAAGGGGCUGGCGAGCCAGAGCCACCGGCGGCUUCGAGGCACCGUGGGGAGCGCGCAGCAAGGGGGCGCUGUGGCGCACCCCGCCCGCAGCCCCGCCCCCGGCCCGCCCCGGCCCCACCCCGCUCCCACUGCCCCCUCCGCGGCCGUCCCCACCCCUAUCUCUGCGACCCUCCGCCCCGCCUCGGCUAUUUCCCAUCCCUGUCACUGUGCUCCCCUCCCUACUCCCGGCCCGUAGCGGAGGUGACUUUUCUGCGCAGCGCCGCUCCGGAGGGUCAAGAACCCACAGGGAGUGCGAGCCCUCUGCACGCUCUGGACGCCCUAGAGUGCUCUUGGCGGUCCACGAAAAACCUGGAGUCAGCCUCCCCAUUUCUCCGGUCGGUGAGUGGGAUAAGGACGUCGCCAAUCAUGUUUUCCUGCUUUGCCUCCCCAACUCGGAAACUUGCAACUUGCCGUCUCUUGGAGGUUGGGACAGUUUGGGGGCUCCUGGCUGCUGUCCAACAGAUUGAUCUCUGAGGGCAGGGUCCUCCGUGGGAAGUCCAAGUAGGAGUGGGUGACAUUUACCUCUCUCUCAGGAGGGAGCAGCCUGCACAUUAGGGCCCAAAACUCUGCAAAGGACCGUGAAAGUUCUUCAUCCGUUUCGCUUGUUUUGCUACUCCACACACCCUUCUAGGACGUGUUGAUUGCCAACUGCUCGGCACAACUUGCCCAUAGCUGUCUCUCCCCGUGCAUUUCAGAGCACCAGUGAAAUGUAACCAGAGAGAUCUGGAAAAAAAAAAAUACAAAAACAAUAUUAAUGAUAAAAUUAACAUGGCUGAGUGGAUUGUCAAUGCAAGUUCCUUUAUGAACUCUGUUAAGUUUUGCUUCCUACUCCUUACAUCCUCUUUCUCUUGAGCCAUUGUUUUUCUUUCUUCUUGUUAUCAUUUUAAAAAGUAACAGAAAUACAGCUUUCUUCCUGCCUUCAAGACUGACAUGGUGGAGGUUGGGUUGCAAAGAAGAAGCAGGAAGAAAAAAAAUCUUCUAUACAUUCACAAGUCCUUCAAGGAACAAAAUAAAAGAAACAGAAAAUGUGUCCUUUCUCCUAAUAAAGGUCUUUUUGAUAAAAUUUAAAUGAAGUUUUGUGUUUCAUAACAUCAGCUUUCCAAAUACUAUUGUAGAUGCUAAAAUGUACCUAUAUGUAUUCCUUCCACAAUAAUAAUAAUAACAAACUUUUUAGGUCCAAAUUAAGCAUUUCUCAGCUUAAAUUUCUAUCCUCAAUCCAAUAUUUAUUAUAUCAUUUUAAAACUUGAUUAAAAAAAACAUCAUUGAUGUUUACUUGAUGACCUUGUGAACAUCAGGAAGAUGAAAUGAAAUGAAAUGGUUCAAGGCUGGAACAAUACCAUUAUCUGCAUCUUGACACUGAGGAGAUAAUGAUACCUCUUGCUUUGGUCUACAGACCUACCACCUUUCUCUCCCUUGAGGGAAAAUCCAAAUACAUGGGACCUGUGCAUUCCUCUACAUAAUUAGGAGCCUGGUUUCUCCCAUAGGAGUGUAUGGAGUCAGAGUGGUAUUCUGUACAUGGCAUGGUGUGAUCCGUGGGAAUAUGAGGUACUGGGGAAAAAGUUCUUACUUCCAGCCACUUACACAAAGAGACGCCAUCUCAGUGUCAUCUGAAAAAUUUCUCGCUUUAUAAUGCUCUAUAAGGCCCAUCAUAAACUGAAUGGAUGUAUUUCUACCAAAAGUUGGGGAAAGUUGAAUAUCUAAACCUCUGAGUAAAUCUUCUUAAUUUGGAAAAUAAAAUGGUAGAGUGGCAUUGUAAUACUUUUCAGUUUCCUGGACUAUCAACUCCACAUCAUAGCUAAAUAAAAUACUUAUUUGUCCAUUCAUUCGUUCAUUUGUACAUGAAUCAACAGACAGAGUGGUGAAAAACACUAAUGCUAAAAUACAAAAACAAAUUAUUUAAAAUGGUUCCUGCUCUAGAUGUAAUCUUUCAGAGUAGUGUUUUCCAACCUAGUCUGGUCAGUGAAGUCGUCUUAGCAGUUUAGAAAAAUACUCAAGCCAGAGACCCACCCACAUAGAUUCUGAUUCAGUUCUUUUUGAAUGGGGCCUGGGCAUAGAAAUUUUUAAAAGUUCUCCUGUGGCUUUAGGCUGGGAGUGGUGGUUCAUGCUUGUAAUCCCAGCACUUCGGGAGGCCAAGACUGGCAGAUCACGAGGUCAGAAGAUUAAGACCAUUUUGGCUAACACAGUGAAACCCCAUCUCUACUAAAAAUAUAAAAAAUUAGCCAGGUGUAGUGGCACACUCCUGUUGUCCCAGCUACUUGGGAGGCUGAGACAGGAGAGUUGCUUGAACCUGGGAGGUGAAAGAUUGUGCCACUGUACUCCAGAGUGGGCAGCAGAGCGAGACUUUGUCUCAAAAAAAAAAAAAAAAAAAAAAGAAAAAGAAAAAAAUAGUCUCAAUUGGCUUUAAUUUUCAGAAAAGAUUAAGAACCACUGGCCUAAAAGGAAAGAAAAGGUAGUCUAAAGGAAAGGUUCCUUAACAAAGGAAAUGUUAAAAGCAUGAUAUUUUAGUGGAUAGGCUUGUCACUUUGUGUUGGACCCCAUAAGAGGACAUCGAGGAUCACCACUCCCAAAUGUGAACAGUCCAGGAAAGUGCGGGACAUCACCUACUCUGUCUUUUAGAGAUGGAGUUGGCAAUUUGCCCAUUCACUCUUAGUAAACAUGCAUGAAUUGUAAAGGUCCAGGUUACAGUUUAUUCAUCUGACCUAGGAACUUUAUAUACUCUAGUUACCAGAAAAUGAGUGCCCGUAAACAGAACAUCAUUUUACUAAUGCCUAUAUAAUGCUAUCAAUACUUCCUUGUGAAAUUCCUCCUAUGUCCUAGACCUGGUCCUAAUUUCUUUACAUUAUGUUGCUAUCUCAUUUAAUUUUCUGAAUUACUUUGGAAAGCCUCAUCAGUACUUACAAACCACACGGAAUAUUUCAUUUUGUUGCCUCAACAUUGCCCAUCUUCAUUUUAAUUAUAGUUUCACAAAUUGUUAUGUUUUCAAAUGUAUACUUGUUUUCGGUGACCACAUUUUAUGUCUACUGAUUCUUUGUAUUAUGUAGGUAAAGUCCUAAAUCUUGUAGUAAUGUCUUCAAAUCAUAUACAGAAUGUGUUACUUUGGGGGAAAUAGCUUCUAGACAGUUAAUCCUAUAUGUGAUUUACAAGAGUCUUGUAAAAAUUAUUCAACAGACCAUAGUAUUUCCUGGCAGGCAUUUUUUGUUAGAUUUUUGGAGUUAGUUUUUCUUCAAGGGUUGAAGCCCUCUAUAGAUGUACAUGAGAAUGAAAUGUCAUAUAGAGGGGUUGAUUUUGAAAUGUCAGAUAUUAAAACUAAAAUCAAAGCAUGCCAUAUUGUAUAACUAAAUUAAUAUUUAGCCCUUCACUGGCCUUUCUGACUUACGGGCUAGAUUUCCAGUGACAGCUGAUGUCGCAAUAUUUCUAGGGAAAAGAAAGCCUCAUUCUUUUAAAAUACCAUUCAUUUUACACCUCAUAUGGCCCAGCUAGGAUUUUAAGGCCUCAUUAGACAUGUGUAUACCCAACAAGGUUACGGGGUGAAGAAGCUGUUUGUUUCCUUAGAAUCUAGCCAAUCCGGAGUGCUACACAUUUGAGAUUCAAAAAGACAACAUUAAUGGUUUUGAUGGGAAAUGUUUACAUGUUCUCAAUUCACCAGUUGGAAUUUACUGUUGUCCAGGGUUAUUUAACGUUUUUCUAAAGUAAUUUAAAUUCAAAAGGGAAUUAUAUGCAAUAAAUAAUAUCUUUCAAUGGAAGAAUGCAGAGUACUGAAGUUUUCUUUCCUGGGGAGACUAGUAAGAAAUGACUAGACUGUAAGUCUUUCAACCAGAAAAUAAAGGAUUUCAGAAUGAUGAGGAAAGUUUGAAGGAAAUAAUACAGGUCCAUAGAGAGCUCAUAUCGUACUAAAUGACUCAUAAAAUGCAAUAUUUUUUACAUAAUUUGGAAAGUGUGCCAUGCUUGUACAUUUCACCAUUGAGUGUGGUACAGUACUUUGAUCUUCAACAACACACAUUUGUGACAUAAUAGCCAUAAUAGCACUAUUCAGCUAUUUUACAUGGCAAUAAUCCAGUCCUCUCUCAUCAGGAUAAACUGUGAGGACAAAUCCUUUCAAAAUCAGAAUUAGUUCCUUGAAGAAGAGUGAGGCUACAAUUAUCCCUUAAAUAGGAGCAGC
ensembl:lncRNA